rnacentral:tRNA from 1 species
GGGCUUGUAGCUUAGUGGCAGAGCACCCGCCUUGCACGCGGGAGAUGGAGGUUCGAUUCCUCUCAAGUCCA